rnacentral:rRNA from 1 species
AACGAACGCUGGCGGCAUGCCUAACACAUGCAAGUCGAACGGGAUCCUAGCUUGCUAGGUGAGAGUGGCGGACGGGUGAGUAACACGUGGGAAUCUGCCUUUUGGUUCGGGAUAACCGCGGGAAACUGCGGCUAAUACCGAAUGCCCUCGAGAGAGGAAAGAUUUAUCGCCAGAAGAGGAGCCCGCGUCCGAUUAGGUAGUUGGUGGGGUAAAGGCCUACCAAGCCGACGAUCGGUAGCUGGUCUGAGAGGAUGAUCAGCCACACUGGGACUGAGAUACGGCCCAGACUCCUACGGAGGCAGCAGUGGGGAAUAUUGGACAAUGGGGGCAACCCUGAUCCAGCAAU